GGCUAUAAUUCAGUGGUAGAACAUCUGUUUUACAUGCAGAAGGGUUUCAGGUUCAACUCCUGGCAUCUCCU